rnacentral:rRNA from 1 species
GACAGAGGUGCCGAGCGUUUAGGCGGAAUCACUGGGCUUAAAGCGUGUGUAGGCGGAUCCGUAAGUACCUUGUGAAAUCCCACGGCUCAACCGGGGAACGGCUGGGUAUACUGGCGAUCUUGAGCCACCUAGGGGCAGUCGGAACAAGUGGUGGAGCGGUGAAAUGCGUAGAUAUCACUUGGAACGCCAAUGGUGAAAACAGACUGCUGGGGGUGUGCUGACGCUGAGACACGAAAGCCAGGGGAGCAAACAGG